rnacentral:ncRNA from 1 species
CUGCCGGUGUGAGUCCGGUCCGGGUAGCCGCCAGGAGGCCCGGUAGCAGGCUGGCGGUGUCGGAGGGAAACCUGCGGUGUCGAAGCCCAGCGUCGAAAGCCCUUCAAGGGGGAGCGACUGAGCCCUGAUCCACCGUUG